UGUUUACAACACAAUCCUCGCUCUGUAAAAGUUUCGAGUCAAUCAGGUUUCAUAAUAAACAGAGCAUAGAGGGCAUUCUUACACCCUAAAGAUUUUGGCUCAUUCUUGCUUCAAUUCAUCAGCAGCUUCUUUCCGCAAAUGUGGAUUUAACUGAUCAUCAACUCCAACUUGGUCGUUCUUACUGGUUGCAGGCUUGAAGGGGCAAGCAGGAGG
rnacentral:misc_RNA from 1 species